rnacentral:rRNA from 1 species
GUGCCAGCAGCCGCGGUAAUACGUAGGUGGCAAGCGUUGUCCGGAUUUAUUGGGUUUAAAGGGUGCGUAGGCGGCCCUGUAAGUCAGUGCUGAAAUAUCCCGGCUUAACCGGGAGGGUGGCAUUGAUACUGCGGGGCUUGAGUAAAGUUGAGGUUGGCGGAAUUGACGGUGUAGCGGUGAAAUGCUUAGAUAUCGUCAAGAACACCCAUAGCGAAGGCAGCUAACUAAACUUAAACUGACGCUGAGGCACGAAAGUGUGGGGAUCAAACAGGAUUAGAUACCCUAGUAGUCC